rnacentral:rRNA from 1 species
GAUGAACGCUGGCGGUAUGCUUAACACAUGCAAGUCGAACGAAAGUUUGUAAGAACUUUAGUGGCGGACGGGUGAGUAACACGUGAGAAUCUACCUUUAGGAAAGGCAUAACAGUUGGAAACGACUGCUAAAGCCUUAUAUGCUGCAAAGUGAAAAAGAGAAAUCUGCCUGAAGAUGAGCUCGCGCCUGAUUAGCUAGUUGGUAAGGUAACUGCUUACCAAGGCAACGAUCAGUAGCUGGUUUGAGAGGACGACCAGCCACACUGGGACUGAGACACGGCCCAG